UACGGGAGGCAGCAGUGGGGAAUUUUGGACAAUGGGCGAAAGCCUGAUCCAGCAAUGCCGCGUGUGUGAAGAAGGCCUUCGGGUUGUAAAGCACUUUUGUCCGGAAAGAAAUCCUUGGCUCUAAUACAGUCGGGGGAUGACGGUACCGGAAGAAUAAGCACCGUGCUANUUACGUGCCAGCAGCCGCGGUAAUACGUAGGGUGCGAGCGUUAAUCGGAAUUACUGGGCGUAAAGCGUGCGCAGGCGGUUUGCUAAGACCGAUGUGAAAUCCCCGGGCUCAACCUGGGAACUGCAUUGGUGACUGGCAGGCUAGAGUAUGGCAGAGGGGGGUAGAAUUCCACGUGUAGCAGUGAAAUGCGUAGAGAUGUGGAGGAAUCCCGAUGGCGAAGGCAGCCCCCUGGGCCAAUGCUGACGCUCAUGCNCGAAAGCGUGGGGAGGCAAUACAGGAUUANAUACCCUGGUAGUCCACGCCNUAAACGAUGUCAACUAGUUGUNGGGGA
rnacentral:rRNA from 1 species